rnacentral:rRNA from 1 species
CAAAGGAAUUGACGGGGGCCCGCACAAGCGGCGGAGCAUGCGGAUUAAUUCGAUGCAACGCGAAGAACCUUACCAAGGCUUGACAUAUAGAAGAACGGGCUAGAAAUAGUCAACUCUUUGGACACUUCUAUACAGGUGGUGCAUGGUUGUCGUCAGCUCGUGUCGUGAGAUGUUCGGUUAAGUCCGGCAACGAGCGCAACCCUCGUCCUAUGUUGCCAGCACGUAAUGGUGGGAACUCAUGGGAUACUGCCGUGGUCAACACGGAGGAAGGUGGGGAUGACGUCAAAUCAUCAUGCCCCUUAUGUCUUGGGCUUCACGCAUGCUACAAUGGCCGGUACAAAGGGCUGCGAUACCGCGAGGUGGAGCGAAUCCCAAAAAGCCGGUCUCAGUUCGGAUUGGGGUCUGCAACUCGACCCCAUGAAGUCGGAGUCGCUAGUAAUCGCAGAUCAGCAACGCUGCGGUGAAUACGUUCCCGGGCC